UACAGAGGGUGCGAGCGUUGUCCGGAAUCACUGGGCGUAAAGGGCGUGUAGGCGGCUGGAUAAGCCGCGUGUGAAAUCCCGGGGCUCAACCCCGGAACGGCACGCGGGACUGUUCGGCUAGAGAAUGGUAGAGGCAAGUGGAAUUCCUGGUGUAGCGGUGAAAUGCGCAGAUAUCAGGAGGAACACCGGUGGCGAAGGCGGAUCUCUGGGCCUGUUCUGACGCUGAGGCGCGAAAGCGUGGGGAGCGAACAG
rnacentral:rRNA from 1 species